AACGAACGCUGGCGGCGUGCUUAACACAUGCAAGUCGAACGGUAAGGCCCUUCGGGGUACACGAGUGGCGAACGGGUGAGUAACACGUGGGUGAUCUGCCCUGCACUUCGGGAUAAGCCCGGGAAACUGGGUCUAAUACCGGAAAGGACCACUGCCUGCAUGGGUGGUGGUGGAAAGCUUUUGCGGUGUGGGAUGGGCCCGCGGCCUAUCAGCUUGUUGGCGGGGUGAUGGCCUACCAAGGCGACGACGGGUAGCCGGCCUGAGAGGGUGACCGGCCACACUGGGACUGAGAUACGGCCCAGACUCCUACGGGAGGCAGCAGUGGGGAAUAUUGCACAAUGGGCGCAAGCCUGAUGCAGCGACGCCGCGUGAGGGAUGACGGCCUUCGGGUUGUAAACCUCUUUCAGCACCGACGAAGCGCAAGUGACGGUAGGUGCAGAAGAAGGACCGGCCAACUACGUGCCAGCCGCCGCCGUAAAAC
rnacentral:rRNA from 1 species